GACGAACGCUGACGGCGUGCCUAAUACAUGCAAGUCGAGCGGACGAAUCGAAAGCUUGCUUUUGCUUCGUUAUCGGCGGACGGGUGAGUCACACGUGUUCAACCUGCCCUGUAGACGGGGAUAACACCGAGAAAUCGGUUCUAAUACCGGAUAACACGAAAUGUCGCAUUACGUUUCGUUGAAAGACGGCGCAAGCUGUCGCUACAGGAUGGGCCCGCGGCGCAUUAGCUAGUUGGUGAGGUAACGGCUCACCAAGGCGACGAUGCGUAGCCGACCUGAGAGGGUGAACGGACAGACUGGGACUGAGAAACGGCAGAGACUCCGACGGGAAGAAGCAGUAGGGAAUCUUACGCAAGGGACGAAAGGCGGACGGAGCAACGCCGCGUGAGCGAAGAAGGACUUAGGGUCGGAAAGCUCUGUUGUUAGGGAAGAACAAGUAACGCAGUAACUGGCGUUACCGUGACGGUACCGAACGAGAAAGCCACGGCUAACUACGUG
rnacentral:rRNA from 1 species